rnacentral:rRNA from 1 species
GAUGAACGCUGGCGGCGUGCCUAAUACAUGCAAAUCGAGCGAACAGACGAGGAGCUUGCUCCUCUGACGUUAGCGGCGGACGGGUGAGUAACACGUGGAUAACCUACCUAUAAGACUGGGAUAAAUUCGGGAAACCGGAGCUAAUACCGGAUAAUAUAUUGAACCGCAUGGUUCAAUAGUGAAAGACGGUUGUGAUGUCACUUAUAGAUGGAUCCGCGCCGCAUCAGCUAGUUGGUAAGGUAAGGGCUUAACAAGGCAACGAUGGGUAGCAGACCUGAGAGGGUGGACGGCUAGCUUGGAACUGAGACACGGUCGAGACACCUACAGUAGGACGCAGCAGGGACUCUUCCGCGAUGGGCGAAAGCUUGACGGAGCAACGCCGCGUGAGUGAUGAAGGUCUUCGGAUCGGAAAACUCUGUUAGUAGUGAAGAACAAAUGUUUAAUUAACUAGGCCCGUCUUGACGGUACCUGAUCAGAAAGCCACGGCUAACUACGUG